rnacentral:tRNA from 1 species
GUGGAGGUAGCAAAGUCUGGUCAAAUGCGCAGGACUUAAGAUCCUGUCUCUUAGUGAGUUCGGGGGUUCGAAUCCUCUCCUCCACA